rnacentral:rRNA from 1 species
GGCGGACGGGUGAGUAAUACUUAGGAAUCUACCUAGUAGUGGGGGAUAGCUCGGGGAAACUCGAAUUAAUACCGCAUACGACCUACGGGAGAAAGGGGGCAGUUUACUGCUCUCGCUAUUAGAUGAGCCUAAGUCGGAUUAGCUAGAUGGUGGGGUAAAGGCCUACCAUGGCGACGAUCUGUAGCUGGUCUGAGAGGAUGAUCAGCCACACCGGGACUGAGACACGGCCCGGACUCCUACGGGAGGCAGCAGUGGGGAAUAUUGGACAAUGGGGGCAACCCUGAUCCAGCCAUGCCGCGUGUGUGAAGAAGGCCUUUUGGUUGUAAAGCACUUUAAGCAGUGAAGAAGACUCCAUGGUUAAUACCCAUGGACGAUGACAUUAGCUGCAGAAUAAGCACCGGCUAACUCUGUGCCAGCAGCCGCGGUAAUACAGAGGGUGCAAGCGUUAAUCGGAAUUACUGGGCGUAAAGCGAGCGUAGGUGGCUUGAUAAGUCAGAUGUGAAAUCCCCGGGCUUAAC